rnacentral:rRNA from 1 species
GCUGACGGUGUGCUUUAGACAUGCAAGUCGAACGCGAAAACCCUUCGGGGUGAGUAGAGUGGCGAACGGGUGAGUAACACGUGGGUAACCUACCCCUCGCAGGGGGAUAACCCGGGGAAACCCGGGCUAAUACCCCGUACGCUUGUCGGGUCGCAUGACCCGGCAAGGAAACGGUAGCUUCGGCCAUCCGGCGAGGGAUGGGCCCGCGGUGCAUUAGCUAGUUGGUGGGUAACAGCCUACCAAGGCGACGAUGCAUAGCUGGUCUGAGAGGAUGAUCAGCCACACUGGGACUGAGACACGGCCCAGACUCCUACGGGAGGCAGCAGUCGGGAAUCUUGCGCAAUGGGCGAAAGCCUGACGCAGCAACACCGUGUGGGUGAUGAAGGCCUUCGGGUCGUAAAGCCCUGUUGUUGGGGACGAAGGGUUAGGGGUUAAUAGCCCCGAGCCUGACGGUACUCUUCGAGGAAGCCCCGGCUAACUACGUGCCAGCAGCCGCGGUAAUACGUAGGGGGCGAGCGUUGUCCGGAAUUAUUGGGCGUAAAGAGCGUGUAGGCGGCCCGGUAAGUCCGCCGUGAAAGCUUAGGGCUCAACCCUAAGUUUGCGGUGGAUACUGUCGGGCUAGAGGGUGGUAGAGGCGAGUGGAAUUCCCGGUGUAGCGGUGAAAUGCGCAGAUAUCGGGAGGAACACCAGUAGCGAAGGCGGCUCGCUGGGCCAUACCUGACGCUGAGACGCGAAAGCGUGGGGAGCGAACAGGAUUAGAUACCCCCGUAGUCC